rnacentral:rRNA from 1 species
CCUACGGGUGGCAGCAGUGAGGAAUAUUGGUCAAUGGGCGGAAGCCUGAACCAGCCAAGUAGCGUGCGGGAUGAAGGCCCUACGGGUCGUAAACCGCUUUUGCACGGGGAUAACACCCUCCACUUGUGGAGGUCUGCAGGUACCGUGCGAAUAAGGGCCGGCUAAUUCCGUGCCAGCAGCCGCGGUAAUACGGAAGGCCCGAGCGUUAUCCGGAUUCAUUGGGCUUAAAGGGAGCGUAGGCGGGCGUUCAAGUCAGCUGUAAAAUCGCGCGGCUCAACCGCGCCCCGCAGUUGAAACUGGACGCCUUGAGUUGUCGAGAGGUAUGCGGAAUGCGCAGUGUAGCGGUGAAAUGCUUAGAUAUUGCGCAGAACUCCGAUUGCGAAGGCAGCAUACCGGCGGCGAUCUGACGCUGAGGCACGAAAGCGUGGGUAUCGAACAGGAUUAGAUACCCUAGUAGUC